UACUGACAACAAGAGACCUGGUGACCCUGUUACAACAGGUACAGUACUGACAACAAGAGACCUGGUGACCCUGUUACAACAGGUACAGUACUGACAACAAGAGACCUGGUGACCCUGUUACAGCAGGUACAGUACUGACAAGAGACCUGGUGACCCUGUUACAACAGGUACAGUACUGACGACAAGAGACCUGGUGACCCUGUUACAGCAGGUACAGUACUGACAACAAGAGACCUGGUGACCCUGUUACAACAGGUACAGUACUGACAACAAGAGACCUGGUGACCCUGUUACAACAGGUACAGUACUGACAACAAGAGACCUGGUGACCCUGUUACAACAGGUACAGUACUGACGACAAGAGACCUGGUGACCCUGUUACAACAGGUACAGUACUGACAACAAGAGACCUGGUGACCCUGUUACAACAGGUACAGUACUGACAACAAGAGACCUGGUGACCCUGUUACAACAGGUACAGUACUGACGACAAGAGACCUGGUGACCCUGUUACAACAGGUACAGUACUGACAACAAGAGACCUGGUGACCCUGUUACAACAGGUACAGUACUGACAACAAGAGACCUGGUGACCCUGUUACAACAGGUACAGUACUGACAAGAGACCUGGUGACCCUGUUACAACAGGUACAGUACUGACGACAAGAGACCUGGUGACCCUGUUACAGCAGGUACAGUACUGACAACAAGAGACCUGGUGACCCUGUUACAAUAGGUACAGUACUGACAACAAGAGACCUGGUGACCCUGUUACAACAGGUACAGUACUGACAACAAGAGACCUGGUGACCCUGUUACAACAGGUACAGUACUGACAACAAGAGACCUGGUGACCCUGUUACAACAGGUACAGUACUGACAACAAGAGACCUGGUGACCCUGUUACAACAGGUACAGUACUGACAAGAGACCUGGUGACCCUGUUACAACAGGUACAGUACUGACAACAAGAGACCUGGUGACCCUGUUACAGCAGGUACAGUACUGACGACAAGAGACCUGGUGACCCUGUUACAACAGGUACAGUACUGACAACAAGAGACCUGGUGACCCUGUUACAACAGGUACAGUACUGACAACAAGAGACCUGGUGACCCUGUUACAACAGGUACAGUACUGACAACAAGAGACCUGGUGACCCUGUUACAACAGGUACAGUACUGACGACAAGAGACCUGGUGACCCUGUUACAACAGGUACAGUACUGACGACAAGAGACCUGGUGACCCUGUUACAACAGGUACAGUACUGACGACAAGAGACCUGGUGACCCUGUUACAACAGGUACAGUACUGACAACAAGAGACCUGGUGACCCU